CGGGAUGUAGCGCAGUGGGAGCGCGCCUGGUCGGGGGCCAGGAGGUCGCAGGUUCGAUUCCUGCCAUUCCGA
rnacentral:tRNA from 1 species